rnacentral:rRNA from 1 species
AUGACAACAAUCUGGCGCAUGACAAUAAAAUGGGUGGCGAGUCUAGCAAAUAUGUUAUGCGACCAAACAUCACUACCACCAAAGUUACCAUUUCAGUAUCUGAAAAUGAUCACAAACAACUUCUCUGAUGAGCAUGCUCUCGGUAGUGGUGGUUCAGGUGUGGUAUACAAGGGAAGGAUGAGUAAUGGAGAAUUCGUUGCCGUGAAGAAACUUCAAGUGUCAUUGCCAAGCUUUCAGAAGCAGUUUGAGAAUGAGGUGUAUCGUCUAAUGUACCUUAAUCACCCGAAUAUAGUGCGACUUCGAGGGUACUGCUACGAAACACAGAAUAUAUGUGUAGAGCACAAUGGGAAUUUCGUCUUUGCGGAGAUGUCAGAAAGGUUGCUUUGCUUGCAAUAUUAUGCUAACGGAAGCCUUGCUGGUUAUAUUUCAGAUGAAUCUUCUGGACUUGAGUGGGACACCCGCUAUAACAUAAUUGUCGAGAUUUGCUAUGGUUUAAAGUACCUUCAUGAGGGAAAAGAUAAGCCCGUGCUCCAUAUGGACCUAAAGCCGGCCAACAUAUUGCUGGAUAAUGCUAUGAAGCCAAAGAUUACAGACUUUGGUCUUUCAAGACUACUCGAUCAACAGCAAACUAUAAGCACUUCAAGUCGUGAUGGAACACUGGGUUACAUGGCACUAGAAUACCUACAUGGAGGACACAAGGACUACCCAGAUGUUACAAGAACAUCAUCCGAGAGAUUUGUGGAGCUUACACUUGAUAAAUGGAGGUCCAGAAAUCCAUUGAACAAAUCACCAGGCUAUAUACCAAAAAUAAGAAGAUGCAUUGAGAUAGGUCUAGCAUGUGUGAAUCCUGAGCGGAAGGGAAGGCCAUCAACAGGCGAGCUUAUAAAGUUGCUACAAGGAAGAAUGACGUUAGACGAGCUUUCAGCAGCGUCUAGAAUGGAAGCAACCUGUUUCCCGGCCGACCUAACUGCCAUCCAUGAGAUUCUAGAGAGGGAGGGAUACAAAGAAGACGAAGGGGUUGCAUCUGAGCUAUCUUUCCAAAUGUGGACAGACCAAAUGCAAGAGACGAUUACCCACAGAAAAAAGGGUGAUGAUGCAUUCCAAGCUGGAGACUUUCAGGCAGCAUUGGACAAUUUUACUGAGUUUAUUGAUACUGGGAUAUUGGUUUCACCGGUUGUUUAUGCCAGACGUAGCUUGUGCUACCUUAUGUCUGACCAACUUGAUGCUGCCCUCCAAGACUUGAAGAUAGUAGAGGGCAUCUUUGAAAAAUGCUCUUAUAAAUGGCCCACGGCACUCUACAUGGAGAAAAUUGCGGUUUCAAUGCUAGACAAUCAGAGUCCUCGUAGCGCAACCGAAAUGUUGAAUGAGGCGUCGCACCUCGAAGAGGAGAGGCGUGGGAAUGAAACUUUCAGCUUUCAGACCAACGAGGGAUUUACAUUCCCAAAAUUGAGCCAAUAG